UAUGUGAUCGUCUCUCGCAUAUCAAUAAGCGGAGGAAAAGAAACUAACAAGGAUUCCCCUAGUAACGGCGAGUGAAGCGGGAAGAGCUCAAAUUUGAAAUCUUAAAGGGUUUCCCUUUACGAAUUGUAGUUUAAAGAAGUGUUUUCUGUUGAGGUUUUGGUAAAAGUUCCUUGGAAUAGGACAUCAUAGAGGGUGAGAAUCCCGUAUUUGACCUUUACUUUCAACUUUGUGAUACACUUUCAAAGAGUCGGAUUGUUUGGGAAUGCAGUCCAAAAUGGGUAGUAAAUUUCAUCUAAAGCUAAAUAUUGGCGAGAGACCGAUAGCGAACAAGUACCGUGAGGGAAAGAUGAAAAGAACUUUGAAAAGAGAGUUAAACAGUACGUGAAAUUGUCAAAAGGGAAGCGUUUGACACCAGUGUUGUUUUUCUGAAAAUCAAUUAAAGAACUGUUUAUGCUAAGCUGUUUAGACUUUAUCAGCUAUCUGUUUAGUUUUGAGCUUUUCUUUAAUGCACUUUUCAGUUAACAAGUCAACAUCAAUUUCUUUUGCUGUAAAAAAGCUUGAGGAAGGUGGCUUGAGAUUCGUCUUAAGUGUUUAUAGCCUCUUGCCUAUGCAGUCGGAGAGAUUGAGGUCUGCAGCGUAGAUCCUUCGGGGCUAAAUGCAUUUGUGCUAGGUUAUAGGCAUUUUAUAGACAACUUGUUGACUAUGAUUUGUCUUGUAGCUUACUCGCUUAUGUUAUUUUACCUACGCUUAGGAUGUUGAGCGCAUGUCUCUCUCU
rnacentral:rRNA from 1 species